UUCAAUUUUUUUUUUUUUGAAACACCAAAUAUUAUAUUCAGACAGGUUUGUGCAAGACACACAAACUCCCGAAAGAGGCCAAGAACUACAAAACAUAGAAAGCACCGUAUAUAGGCGGAUCACCAUAGGAGCAAAGAAAACAAUCAAAACCCUACAAAUUAAAACCAUGUAACCACCCUUGUAAAAAACUGCACCCAAAAACGAUAGUUGAAACGAGACCCACAGCUAGCACUACCGUCGAGACCUUCUAAGAAGGAUAUUGAUUGAUAUUACUUCUUGUAUGGACUUGUGGACACUAUGGAAAGACAAGUAUAGAAGGUGGCUGCUGCAAUUGAAGAUGUUUUUGGCUAGAAUGUGAUAUUGUCUAGCAAAUAUUUUGAUUUCUUUUUUGUUAGGAUCUUUUAAGUCUUAGUUAUUAGUUUCUUUUGAAUUCCUUGUUUUGUCACUUGCUGUGAUAGUUACAUUGGAGUAUCAAAAUAAUGCAAAAUUGUUCAAUUUUAUA